UACGGGGGGGGGCAAGCGUUGUUCGGAAUUACUGGGCGUAAAGGGCGCGUAGGCGGUUGGAUAAGUCAGCUGUGAAAACCACGGGCUUAACUCGUGGCCUGCAGUUGAGACUGUCUGGCUUGAGUGUGGGAGAGGAGAGUGGAAUUCCUGGUGUAGCGGUGAAAUGCGUAGAUAUCAGGAGGAACACCGAUGGCGAAGGCAGUUCUCUGGGCCGUAACUGACGCUGAGGAGCGAAAGCGUGGGGAGCGAACGGG
rnacentral:rRNA from 1 species